CAUUCACUUUUGAAUAUUGUAGUUCAUUUUAUUUGAACCUUAAAGAAAGAUACCAUUUUGAAGCACUGUCUUUUAUAUCCACACGAUUCCUCCCCUUUAUGAGGUAAUAUAUACUUGUUACAUAUUCAAACCAAAUGAAGUAUGUAAAAUAAAGAUUUGGCUAUUUUUUGGUGCCAAAUCUUUGGAAUUAAUCACCCCAAAAUCAGGCAAAUUGAGAUGGCUUUGGUAACAAUAGGUUGGCUGUUAGUGAAUUUUUUUCAGCCAAAUUACUAGCAGCACAGGCGGCACUGGGUCAGUGUGGAUGAAUUCUUUAUGAAACUCAAGAUGCCACUGAAAAUAGAUGUCAUUUUGAAACAUCUCCUCCCAGUGAGUUGUGCCAAAACGUUCUCUUUUGGCUUUGGCACAGUGAAUUGCUGCAGGACAGGCUCAUUAACUCAAGGAGAGCUCCAAACUUUUUUGUGUUAAGAUGUUUCUAUUUAGCAAGAUGCACCAGGCAGUUAAAAAAACAAAACAAAACAAAACAAAAUUCUGAGAAGAAAACAAGAGGAAAAAAAGAGUUCACAUGUUUUUUCACAUUAUUUAGAAAUAUACCCAUACGCUAAGGACUGGACAAAUCUUACAUAUACAGAUUAAACCAGGGAGACGUAAAUCUUGUUCCUCUUGGUUUUUUUGAGCUUUGCAGUUCACCUGAUCUUUCAUUUUGCAGCAAAGGCAGAACCUUGGUGGUGGCAAAAUGGGAUUACCUUUCACAAGCUUUUUUGACACACUCAAACCAGGAUCUGUUAGUCUUCCUUCUUGAACCAAGGAAGAAAGUGGUUCAGAAGAGAUGGGAAACACAAGUGCCUGCAAUUUUUCACUUGAUUAAACCCUGACAGCCAUCCUGCUUGUUCCUGAAAUGGAGGGGAAAGAAGGUUAAAAAAAAAAAAAAAAAGGAACCAGGUGAGAGGGAGGACAGAGAAGCUGCACCGCGUUUGUGCAGCCCAGGAAGGCAGUGCGCGGCCACCUGGCUCCCCUCUCCAGCCUUUGGCUGGCCGAUGGCAUCGCUCCAUCAGAUUACAUGUCCGCUGAGCUCAAACACAGCUCGCAAUCUUGCUCCAUGUAGCUGCCUGGGCAGCUGCUACCAAUUGAUCUAGUUUGGAUUAUGAGAAUGAUAGUACAUUAUUUAUUCAUUUAUUCAACAUUUAUUGAACAUUAACUGUGCCAGGCAUAGGAGAGGCACCAGGGGCAAGACACGAAAUUUGUAUUCUAAUGAAAAUGAAACCUUUUAUUACACUUUCUGGCCCUACACAUUUGCUUGGCAAGCAGUAGAUGCUCAAUAAAUUUUUUGUUGUUGUCGCAUUGCACCGAACUGGCUUCUGAAGAGCAUUCCGGUGUCAGUUAACCCAGCUGAGACGUGAAGUGUGGUUAUGGUUCUCCCUCAAAUAAUGAGAACAUUUGUUCCACCCUGAUUCACUUCCUGCUCAGAGUUUAUUAAAAAUACACUCACUGUCAAGAUUCGUCCUCAGCUUGAUGUAUUUCGAGGGAUAGGUGGCUCACCAGAAGAACCAUACACAGAAUCCUACCUCACCUCUGAAAUCUGACCUCUAGAUGUCUUUCAGAUUCGCUGAUUUGAUUGGAUUCUUGCUAGAACAAAACAUCAGACUCCAACCUCAAAGGAAAUAAAUUAGGCUGUGCCACGCGAGGACAAAUGGUUGACAUUGCGCUCUUGGGAACAUCUUGUGUGCAGCUGUGAACAGCUGAGUUAGUGCCAGUUAAGCUGCGAUAGCAUCACUGGGGAGAGAGAUGAAGGGCGAUUCAUUCACGAAGUGCUGUUCAAAGGGUGUCCUAAAGAUUUAUUUUCUGCUAUCUCCCUUCUCUCUAAAAUUUACACGGGGGUGGAAUGAUUGGAUGCUGUAAUUCUGCUGGAAUUGCCGCUCUUCUCCAUCGGGAUUGGUGUUGCAGGAUGAUGUGCACUUGGCAUUCAUAAACAGAAAGGAAACAAGAAAAAGCACCCUUUCACUUCACAGAGAGGAUCCCUGUCUGACUGUCUUGAGUGAUGCUUUAACCAGUUAUUCAUUUCCUUAUGAAUAAGCCUCAGUUGUACUCUCUUCUGGCAAAGAAAAGCACAAGAUGAACAGACGAGAAGGAUUCCCUCAAAGAGCAGCUUUAUCACUCUCAUUUGCAGUUUCAGUCCUCAGAAUGAAGCUAUUGGCUGUGUGUCCACUGACCACAGAUGGUCACUCCUCGCAUGGACAGGGGUGGAGUCAGCGACUAACUGGCAAUGAAGGGGGCAAAGGAAGCAGCAAUCAGAAGGCGUCUUGUAGAAAGAGACUGAAAUGGCAUCUGGACAUGUUUUAAACAGACUUCGUCUGGGGCUGGAAAGGGGAUGGCGCGUGUGAGAUGCUCUAGCACCCCAGAGUGAGAAAGCAAAGCAGCGGAAUUGAAAUGCAGUGGGGGGACCUUUAAAGUCACUGUUCCCAAACGCAGAUCCAGUCUGUGUCCCGGAUGCCCAGAGACAUCCCUCCCAAACUCACUGGGCCUCCGAGCUCCUGGCCUCAUUUAUAUGCAGAAUCCCUGGGAGAAGAGUUUUUCUCACUGCUCUCUAGAUGAAUCCAGAGUAUGUAGCUAGAUUUGUGAAUUACUAGUAGAUCCUGCCUGAACAAAUGAACAAAAAUAAAGCAGAUGAAAGACAGAGGAAGAAAAAACUGCAUGCAAGGGAAGUAAAACAGAAGUCUCAUCUUUUUGGUUGAUGCCAAUCAGUACAUCACAAUUUUGUAAUCUCUAAAGGCAACUGGCCCCCCAUAGCCACAAAUGCCACAUGUAUGGAGGCCACCAACCAUGCAUUAAAAACAGUCAGGAAAAAAGUGCAUUUCUACAGAAUGUGUGCAGACUUUUUCCUUCUUACAAUUCCCUGAAUGCAUUGUAACAAUUAUCACAUUGCAAUGUUUCCAUAUUAUAAUGAGCCUGAAGAUGCUAUAAGGUAUCCCAGAGAAUGUAUGUAGAUUCUCUGUAAAUACUACAUCACUUUGUAUAAGGGGUUGGAGCAGCCACUAAUUUUGAUAUGGGGAAGUUGGUACUUCCAACUGGUACUGGUACUGGUGCUCCCUGGGUACUGAGGGAGGCUUAUGUAUCCCUUUCUGAUCCAAUUUUUUUAUUCCUAAAUCUUUUAAUAUUUAAAUUUUGAGGAAUUUUGUGAGUGAGGUAAGAUUCAUAAAGUCUCCUUCACACACAAGGCACUGCGAGAAGACGCCCACAUGAGAGGUUGAAGACGCAGGAUCUGAGCCCAGAGCCUGUGUCUGCCGGAUCUGUCUUCUCCACGCAGGUGGAAGGCCAGGGCAGACACAGUCUGAUGAGCUGUGCCUCACAGAGAUGCAUGACGGGGUGCAGCAGGAACCGUGUGGAAGGCACAAAGAGAAACCCACGAGUUCCUGUGGAUUUCACGGGGAGGCUGCAACCCGCACGGAUGCAGAAGGGGGCUCUCUGGAGGCGGUGAUGCCGGCUUUGAAAUCUCAAGUGAUGAAUCAAAGCCAGUCAGAAAAAGAAUGAAGGCCAUUCCAGGUAGAGCAAAGCCUCAGAGAAAAGAGAAAGUAGCUCCUGACAUCUCUCAGGAAAGGGUGAAUGGAUACAAAGUGGCUGGAGUAAAAAACUAUUCAAUUAUUGAAACUUAACUAUUAAUGGUUAUGUAAUUGAGACUAAUUUGAGGUAUCACAAUCAUUUAUAGUAACUGACAGAAAUGGUAAUUGUGAUGUUCCAAUUUGUAUUGGAUAAUGAGUCAUUCCACAUAUGAGAGGCAUCAAACAAUGCAUUAUUUAUGCUCUUGGAGUCUGUGGGUCGGGGAUUCUGACACUGCAUAGGUGGGCAACUAGGUCACUUCCUUUUGUCAGGUCUCAGCUAGCGGUGAUCUGACCACUGGGGCUAACGGGUCCACUUCAAAGAGGCAUCCACGGCCUUAGCAGUGGGCACAGGAGACUGAACAUAAGUGGGACUGCUGGCAAGAGCAGCGCCCUCUGCAGCAGAGAAGCAGAAUUUCUUCAGAAGUGGACCCGUGUCCCUGUGAACAGAUCAGGGUCAAGAGAGUGCCUUGAUCGGCCUUGACAGAUACAAAGUGUUGGCUUCAGCGUAUUCUAUCACUGCGCCAGGCACAGCCUGUCCAGACUCAAAGGGAGGGGGCCAAAAAGCACCAAAGAGUUUAAAGCUACUAUGUGGAAUUAGCAUCUAUGGAACACUUCCUGUGUACCUAAUACUAUCAAAUGUCCUCAGAUCUCACCAUAACAGUAUGACACAUAUGCCAUUAUCAUCUUCAGUUUACACAUGAGGGGCCAAAGACUCAGGAAAGAUGUGUAACUUGUCUAAUGUCCUAAGUAGCUAGCCUGGGAAGUGAACCCAGAUUUGUAGAAUUUGAAGCUUUAAACUGUAUCUCCUUGGUAUUCUUUGUGACUCAGUCCUGACUUCUGGUCCACUUGCACAGUAGAAUCAUUGUAACUAUUUGCAAAAAUAAAGUCUUCUCAAUUAUAUAUCUAAGAGGACUCCACUGGGAGGCACCAUCAUGGUCAGAGAGGACCACACUCCGUCAGAAGCAGAAUCCUUGCAAACCGACGGCUGUUCAGGCUUCCAGUCUAACAGCUACAUGUCAUACAGCUGUGGAAAUCAUUCUCCCUGGAUGCGAUCAUUCCCCAAGGCCUUCUUUCUGCAUCCUGAAAUCACGGACAACUAUGAAGUGGAAAAUGCUUCUGGAUCAAAGUUCUCUCAUCACCAGGAAGAAAUAAUACGAGUUUGAAACGUUCAUACUUUGGAAUAUGAAAAAUAUCUUUUGAUUAUGUUGUAUAACAUAACAAUUGGAAGAGGAAUCAGUAGCAUCUCAACACAAAUAAAUAUUUUUCAUUUAUUCAUUAAUGCCAAAAAUAUACAGGGACACCAACUAUGUACCAGGCACUGGGCUGGAUUAUGAAGAUGUUCUGGAAUGAGACAGAAAGGGUCCCCCACAGAGUUUAUGGUCUAGUGCAGGAGACACAGAAAAACUAAGCAGUUAUUUCCACAAACAAUAGUUAAUAUCAUUCCCAAAGUAUUGUGAAAAAACCUAAGAAGGUAACAAGAUAACACUCAGCAGAAGGGUGAGAUGUGUGGUGUUGGUGCAGACCUCUUGGGGACAUAAUGAUGGACCUGAAACCCAAGGGAAGGAGGACAGGAAAAGCCACAAUCCUGUGUACUUUACUCUGACUUACUCUUUGGUUCCAAAUGCUUUUCUUUUUAGUUCAGAUUGUUAUAACUGGAGUCAAGCUAAAACAUCAUUAACACAUGAAUGCAAAGAAAAUCUAACUGGUAUUUAGUCCAAUAUGGAGUUUGUGUGCCCAGACUCUAGAGGUGGAAACUGUUUCUUGACACAUGUAAACCCUGAGAUUUAAGUGUAGACUUUAUUUCCCAGUGGGUGAGAAAUAUAAAGUCUAGGUUCACUUCCAGCUGUCCAUCUCAAAGGGCACAGCAGCCAGCAUGCCCUCCACAGGCUUGGGCGCUCAUGCAGUCCUGAUGGGCCAUUCUGCCCAUCUCCCAGAGCCUCCGCCAGGCAGCUGAAGUGGGUUAGAAAUUUAGGACAUCAUCUGAAUUUUACUUUUCAAAAUGUAACACUAUUUAUAGUCACUUGUUCUUAGUGGUGGUGAUGGGGGUCUGAAUUUACAAGCUAUGAUGUUAUAAGGUAAUGCUCAGGUGGAGGGUGGGGUAGAAAGUCUAGUUUGUGUGUGUUCUAACAUGGUCACCUGUGUGCACUUACUGACCUAAGGAGGGCGUCUUUAGUACUUGAGCUCCUGGCAUGUGCCAGAAAGAGGUGGUGACAUAUGGAUUGGGCACUUCAGGUUGGUGCAUUUUAGUCAUUUGGGGAAUAGCUAAAGCUGUAAUUAUUUUUUAAAUAUUUUUAAAGAUAACAAAAUAAAAAUUUCAAAACACAACAGUUAGGUAUAUACAUUGGUAUUAGGUAUAUUAGGUAUAUACACAAUGUAUGUAUACAUUGUUAUAUUCAAAUCAGUUACUCAGAGUGGAAAACAUUUGCAUUUAAUUGUCCAAACAAUACUAGCACAAACCUGUCUCUUCAAUGAGCUCAGAAAAGUCAGUAGUGUAACUAUUUUUUAUGUACAUAGUUUUUUAGUUUCUCAAACUAGUGAGACAACACAAUGUUUACACAUAACAUGUCUGAUUUAUUUCACUAAUAAGUAUGGUUUCAAGUUGCAUUCAUUUAACUAUAAAAAUCUCAAGUUUAUCCUUCUUUAUGGCUGAGUAGUAGCCCAUUAUAUAAAAAUACCACAUUUUUAAAAAAUCUAUUCCUCAGUUGGUGGACAUUUAGGUUGUUUCCAAGGUUGGCUUUUACAAAUUGUGCUGCUAUAAACAUGGGUGCACAUAUAUCACUGUGAUAUAAUGUUUUCAAUUCUUCUAGGAAGAUACCCAAAAGGGAAUAGCUUGGUCAAAUAAGACCUCCAAUCCUAGAUUGUUGAGGAAUUUCCACAGUGAUUGAACCAGUCUGCAGUCUCACUAAUAGUGGAGAAGGAUUCCUUUUCCUUCACAGCCCCUCAAACAUUAUUUAUUGGUUGAUUUCUCAAUAAUAGCCAUUUUAUCUGGUGUGAGGUGGAAUCUCAGUGUUUACACCUGUAAUUAUUUGCAAAACUAUUCUUUGGAAAUUGCUUCAGGUGUGUGUAUAUAUCUGUAAUGAUGUAAAUAUGCAUAUACUUAAUAGUAUAAUUGGCCUUUUUACCCAGGCUGGGCAUCCCUAACCUGAAAUCCAAAGUGCCCCCAAGGCUAAAUUUUUUUGAACACUGACAUGGAAAAUUCAUACCCUGAUCUUUUUUAGCUUAGUGAACACAACUUUUUUUUUAAAUGAAAAAAGAACAAAAACAAUGAUACAGAAUUUCAAAACAAAAUAGUAGGAGUUUAACACUGGUUAAUACAUUGCAUAUUGCUAUCUUCAAAGCAGUUGUUCAGAUUACAAGACAUAGGCAUGAAAAAAUUAUCAAACAAUGAAAGCACAAACUCUUCUUUUUGAUGAACCAACAGAGAUUGGUAGUAUAAUUAUCUAUCACAUAUAUGUAUAUGUAUAUAUAUAUAUAAUUUUCCCUUAUUUCCUUUCUCCUUUCCCCCAUCCCAGUUGUUAUGUCUUUCAAGUAGACCACACUCUCCUCACUCUUAUAAUAUCUAUUAUACAUUUUGGGUCUUAUUUAUCUUUCAGCUUUUUACACUAGGGAGACAAUUUUAUGUUCAAAUUUAUUUGCAUUAAAUCCCCUUCAGGAAAUGUGCACAGUGUGUACACAAAGCAUAAAUGAAUUUUGCUGUUUAGACUUGGUUCCACUUACAUGAUAGCCUAUUAUGAAUAUACAAGCUCCAAAAACCUGAAGAAGUCUAAAAUUCAAAACAUUUCUGGUUCCAAGCACUUCAGAUAAAGGAUACUCAACCAGUACAGAUUUAUUAGUUAAUCCUCAAAACAGCAGCUAGUAACCUAAUAUAUAUUCCCCUUUCACUUAUUUCUCUCAAUAACCCUACAAAAUUGUUUCUGAUGUAACACUUUAUAACCAGGAAAGUAAUAGUGAACCAACUAAGAGCUGUGUUGUCCAGCAGAAUAGCCAGUAGAUACGCAUGGCUAUUUAAAUUCUUUAAAAUUUAAGGAAACUAAGUAGCCAACCCCUCAGUCAUGUUAACUUCGCUUCUUGCAUUUACUAGGACAUCUCCAUCUCCAUGAAAGUCCCGCUGGACCCCUCCGGUUCACGCAGGCUGGUGUUGUAUGCAGUGGCUGCGCUGGCAUAUGUGUGGUAGCCUGGCUGGCAGCCAGUCUCCACAAGUCACCAUAGCACCUCCCCCAGUUGUGGCAACCAAAAAUGUCACUAGACGGUGUUAAAUGUCUCCUGGUUAGAGGGAGUAAAAUCAUGCCCAUGUGAGAACAAAUGUCUUAGUCUGAGGUUCACAGCUUUCUUGGGAACUUGAGUGAGUUGCUUUGAAAAGCAACAUGGGGCUUAACUUUCCCCAUUGGUAAAAGAAGAGUUUAAAAACCAGUACAUAUUUCCCUGGGAAUUUGUGAGUGUCAGAUACUGCAGGUAAAUAGUUAGGCAGAAAAUAAAGGUCUACUGAAGGUUUUUCAGGAGUGCAGUGCUCUGCCUCUGCCCUUAUCUGAGGGUCAAGGAGAUUAGCUAAUAUGGUGACUGGCAAUUGGAGAUCAUAAUUCCUGACCUACUGCCACCCUGUGCAUGACCUUGGGCUUCCAUGUUUAGAUAAUUCAAGGGCUGCCGGCAACGACAGAUUUGAUUGAUUAUUUAGACAACAAAACCCGGAGACUUGGAAAUCCUUAAACAAACAAACAAGACUAACAGAAUACAGAAAACCAUCUCUGCUUCAUUGUCUAAAUGUUGUCGAAAUGGGUUUGCAGAAGGGAAGAUGUGACAUACAUAGGUACAAUUUCCAAUGGUGACUCUAUUUAUUAUAGAUUGCUAACACACACUAAUUAAAAAGAGGGGAAAGAGACACAAAAGAGAGAGGAUGAUCUUGAGAGCAUAUGGAAUAAUGAGGCAAUUAGUAAGAAUUUUAGUGAAAAUAGGAUCAAACAACUAAUUACAGUGAAAAUCAUCGAAAUAUAUUAAUAACUAUCAAUAGCUUAAGGGAAAUUUCAAACUCACUGUCUAAAUACAGCUUCAGCCCACCAGUGUCAGGCUCUGAUUACCAUGUUACUAUGCUGACAGAUAAGUAAAUGAAUAUAUUCCAGGUUUUCACUUCUUUUUGUCUUAAAAAACUAAAUAUAGGUGCUUUAGUUUUAUAGGGCUUAUAGGAGAAAUUGGCAGCAGUAUAUUCUUUCCUUGAGAUUUUUUCAUAGUUUUAAUAUAAGACCGAGUUGGAUAUCACCUUCUGAUUACAUAAAAUUGGCAUUGAAGUGGAACACAUAAAUAUUUAACCAUUAUUUUAUUUUUAACUGAUAAAAAGAGAAAAUCUGUAAAGUAUACAACUAAGAGAUCAAAGCAUACAACUAAGCAUUGAAGAGAAAAGUAGAAAAGACUUAUGUGCUGCUUAACGAUGAAGACACAGCCUGAGGCCUGCAUCUAAGGAAAUUUUGUUGAGAGCGGUAUAGUAUACUUACACAAAUCAAGGUAACCAUGAAGUCACUAGGUCGUCACUUUUCUGCAUCAUAGUAUAUGCAGUCUAAUUUUGAGUGCAAUGACUAUAGUUCAUUUCUUGGAUGUGUGCUUCAAUUAUUGCUGCCAGAUAUAUCAUCUAUUUAUUAGAAAUGGCUCUGGUUUACCCUUCAUUUAAUAACCAGUUUACAGUAUACCAGGCCUCAGGCUAAGAAUUAAGCAUGGCUUCCUUAUUCCAUUUCAUCUUCACAGCAAUGGUACGGAGAAUAUUAUUUCCUCUGAUUUUGCAGAUAAGAACACUGGGAAGUGAAAGGGUUUGGAUAAGUUACCAGUAAGGAAUGUUGCAAGGUUUAAAACUCAGGUCUGCAAAAUUUCCCAGUUUCUUUGGUCACUGUUUGUAUUGGUUGGUUUCCUUGCACAAAAUGCCUGAGAUAAUUCAGUUACAAAAAGAAAGGUUUCUGUUGGCUCGUGGUUCUGGAGGUUUCAGUCCAAGAUCAGGCAGCCCAUUGCUUUGGACCUCUGAUGAAGCAGCACUCCUUUGGUGGGAAUGUGUGAUGGAGUCAAACCACUCACUUUGUGAACAAUGAAGCAGAAGAGAAGAAGGGACCUGGGUCUUAUAGUCCCCAGCACUGAGUGGCUAAGCACUGUCUACAGGCUCCACCUCUUGGAGAUCUACAGCAUCUUCCAAAAGCAACGCCCUGUGGCCCAACCCUUGAACCCACGGACUUCCUUGGUCCUUUAACAGCCAGUCUGUGGCAUUUGUCCUCUGCCAGCUACUGAUCGGUAAUGGGGAAAACAUACUUUUUUGUUUGUUUGUUUGUUUUGCUUUGGAGAUUUAAACUCGGGCUUUUUCAUUGAGUUGCAUACACAGCUCUUUUUAUUUGGGGACAGGGUCUUGCUAAGUCUCUCAGUUGCCCAGACUGGGCUUAAACUUGUGAUCCUUCUGCCAUGGCUGCCCAGCAGGCUGAGAGGAAGGUAGAUUCUCUGAGGUGAAGAACCUAUAAUCAGCUUUCUCCACACCUGGCCGCUGUCCUCUAAGUACAUUUGCCACAGUGAUUUGCUCGGCCGCAUUGUGGAUGAGUCCCUCUUUACACCCUUCCUACACAAAAUAUUUUCACCUUAAUAUGACCAAUUAGCUAAAACUGCUCAAAAUUUAAUUUUUUCUCAAUUUCCUGUUCAUUGGAGAAAAAUUCUGAUAGUCAUUUUUAAAAGGAAAUGAGUUUUACAUGAAUCAGUCACCAGAAGCCCAAGAAAAGAUAUUUAAAAUAGUCUCAAAGAAAGAAGUCACUAAUUUAGAGUUACUGAAGAGAGAGAUGAUUCUGAAUUAAUAAAGUAUCUUAAUUAAAGUAUCAGUAAAAAGAGGAUGUCUUAUUAUCUUUUUGAUAUCUGACGGAUGAAUGAAUGACUCAAUCAGACUCCAGUGUAGAAAGGAUAAAAUGAUAUUAGCUGGGGAAGAACCCGGUAGAAGGCUUGUUGUGCUUACUUUGGUGCAUAAACAAGGCCAUUUGAAUACAGUUUUCCAUUCAGGUGUAGACCAGGAAAAAUGGUUACUGUAAGCUGGUGAACAUGUCUUUUGCAAUCUUUUUAUGUCAUUCUUUUUAAGGAUAAGUAGCUCAAAGAUAAUGGAUUCCUCAGACUCUACCUAGAUGAUUACAACUUUUGAAUUGUUGGGACAGAAAUUCAUAAAUUUAUCACUGAUUGUAAAUUGCCAUUGUUUGGGUGUGAUAUAUCAAGCAAGGAUCAUGGUUGGGGCUUGACCCUCAGAGUGGCACCUGGCCUCCAUGAUGAGGCCAUUGGAGUAUCAUGGCUCCAUCCUCAUGCAGCUCAGUGCCCCUGUUCGGCAUUUAGUUCUCUGGAAAGUGGCUUGUCAUAAAUGAGGCCAGCCCACGUGCUGUCCCCUUCUGCCUUCUGCCACCGUUGUAAUCAGAGGUCAGAUAGAUGGAUCACACAACCAUGGGCUUUCAGUCUGGGAGUCCAAACUGGGAAUUAAAUAAACCUUUUUUUCUCUUUAACGUAACCAGCAUCAAGUACUAGUGAUAGCAACAGAAAACUGAACUAUACAAUAGUAAGAAGUUUAAAAAAAUUUUUUUUAAUAAGAAAACAAAUUAUAGUCAUUUCUGCUUCCUUGAACAAGUCAAAUUUAUUGUUCUCCUCAUGCCAAUAACAUAUGCAACUAGAUUCUAACUUGAUAUGUGGACAUUUCUUUCUGUUGAGGGAAAGCAUUCAGCCUUAUCUGUAAUGUAUUUUAAACUAAGUAGCCAUCUAAGUGACACAGAACAGAUAGACUAGCCAAGAAAGUUCACAAAUAAUCUUACAGGAAAAAACCCCACCAUGUAAGUUAAUUUGAAUGUAUUGGGCAUAUAUUCCUCAUUAGUAACUUAACUAAGAUCUUGGGUUUUAAAACAAUAAGUGCACAAGAGGUUGCAUCCUCUGGGUCAGGAAUUGGGAGACAAUUGAGCGCUUCUGGGCUGGCAUCUCUUAUGAGGCUGCAGGCAGAGCCACCCGUGGACAGUCCCCAGUCACGAACAAGUGAAGAGCUCCUCAGAGCUCAUUCUGUGGUGGGAGGCUGGAGUCACAUGUCGUGUAGGCACUGUCUUUCUUAUUAAGACAUGUUUGUGUACUUAACAAUUUCAUUUUCCGGUCAUUUUAGUUCCCCUCUUUCCCCCUUCUCCUCUUCUUCUACUCCAAAUCUCCUUCCCAUCUGCACACAGUCUGUCCUCUUUUUUCCCCACCAUCUCUCUUUUAUUUUGCUCUUGAAGUAAUUUAUACUUUGACUUUCUCAUAUAAGAGAAAUCAUGUGAUAUCUAACCUUCUGUGUUUGGUGUGUUUUACCUAAUAUUAUGGUCUGAAGAUCCAUUCAUUUUCAUAAAAAUGACUCAAGCUUACCCUUCUUUAUGGGAGCGCAAUAUUCCACUGCGUACCAGUAACACAUUUGAUUCAUCCAAUCAUCUCUUGAUGGAAAUACAGGGUGCUUGCAAGAUCUAGCACCUUAGAAGUUGCCUACCACUUUGUGUUUCUUGUGUGCUGAUAGCUGUAUUUUCUGAUCCGCCAAAAGGUAACAGUCUCUGUAGCCUGUCCUUGGAAACAGAAGGAGAAAGCAAACCAACAAAAGAUGUUUCUAAGUCAUAUAUUGGAGCUUGGAAUUUUCCCUGUGAAUCUUUUCAAGUUAUCUAUGGAAGAAGUGAUCUAUUCACUGACUUAACUAGUCACCCAGUGCUGGCACCCUGAGAUGUGGACAUCCUGGUCGCUUCCAUGGCCUCAUGUGUGAAGCACAGAGUACCUACUCUCAGCCCAGGUUCUGGAGGAAGCUACAUGAUCCUUGAGAUGCUCCUGUGCUGAAUAAAGGUGGUCUGUGAGUCCAAGUGAGGACAGGGGAAGGCCCAGGAGACUACCGCGGACCUGUGGGGGCCCUGGCUUUCAAGGUCCCUGAGUCUCCCGUAUGCGGAGGAGCACAGCCCCUGAUGCCCCGCGUACAUGUUUAUGUUAAUAGUGCCGGGAGAACAGGCUGCUCUGGGGCUUCUUCCCAACUGCCACAUGAAUCAAUCAGGACAGAAAGAAGUUACUAUUUCCACAGACACUGCUGCUGUAGCGCAGCAAGUUUGGUGAGGCGUGGAGGCGAACCCCUGCCCCAGGACCAGCCUUGCAGGCUGACUCCCUCCCUCCUCCACUGCCCAGUGAGGUUUCGCAACACGAGGACACAAGUUUCAGGGACACAGCAUUCCCAAGUCACAAAGGUACUUGAAAUCAUCCAGUAUGCAAUCAAAGACAAGCACUGUGUGAAGAUCCAUGCCAGGGCCUUUUGCGCAGCGGCUCUGCAGCGGCAGUUUGGAAAACAGGCCCCGAACGGUGUUUACAGCCUUCCCUAUGUGCCUCCGGUGCAGCCAGAGCUGGGAAGCAUGGUAAGCCACACAGCCUCACAGCCUGAGGCAUGGAGAACCCAGACUUCCAUAGAUCCCAACGGGAGCGAGACACGGGACACAGCCUUCCCUCUCAGUCUCGGUGUCACCAGGUUGUCACUGCAUUCUGGAGCUUCCCAUAGAACUGUGUGUCCAGAUCACUUUGAAGAUACAUGCUUUGUCUGUCUCACCAGGAUGCGCUGAUUCAGAAUCUCUUGAUGAACUUACCCUAAGCAAAGGACAUUAGUUAGCCUGGUGAAAAGAAUACCAGGUUUAGAGUUAGAAAAAGUGAGGCCUGGCAAAUCUGGGAUCCAUUGGAUACAAACUGGAUUUGACUUGACCCCAAAGUUUCAUAUCCUGCCAGCUUGGUGCCCAGCUGAAAGGUGGAUAAACACUGGAGAGGUGAGAUUUUCUGAGAAGCAAUGAUGUUAGGGCUGCAUCCUUGAAGGUCUUGGUUCUUAUUUAUGGAGGAGGUUCAGUCUCAUCGGACUGGGGUUGGUACCAGCAGAGCAGGUUGUCAUGAAGCCAGUCAACUUCCUAAGGUCAUUGCCUUUUCCUCUCUUGCCCUGUGACCUCUCUUGCACACAUCACUUUCCCCUGUUACCUGUGUUCUGCAGUGUGGUAUCCUCUGCUCUGUGUGGUGUGCAGUCCUCAUCAGAUGCAUUUGCACCCUCUUAAACAUUACCUUCAGAACUACAACCUAAAUAAACCAUUUCUGUAUAAAGCA